GGCUCAGAUUGAACGCUGGCGGCAUGCCUUACACAUGCAAGUCGAACGGCAGCACGGGUGCUUGCACCUGGUGGCGAGUGGCGAACGGGUGAGUAAUAUAUCGGAACGUACCUUAUCGUGGGGGAUAACGCAGCGAAAGCUGCGCUAAUACCGCAUACGCCCUGAGGGGGAAAGCGGGGGAUCGAAAGACCUCGCGCGAUUAGAGCGGCCGAUGCCUGAUUAGCUUGUUGGUGGGGUAAAAAGCCCACCAAGGCGACGAUCAGUAGCUGGUCUGAGAGGACGAUCAGCCACACUGGGACUGAGACACGGCCCAGACUCCUACGGGAGGCAGCAGUGGGGAAUUUUGGACAAUGGGGGAAACCCUGAUCCAGCAAUGCCGCGUGAGUGAAGAAGGCCUUCGGGUUGUAAAGCUCUUUUGUCAGGGAAGAAACACCGGCUCUAACACAGUCCGGGAAUGACGGUACCUGAAGAAUAAGCACCGGCUAACUACGUG
rnacentral:rRNA from 1 species